AGCUUUGCGCAGUGGCAGUAUCGUAGCCAAUGAGGUUUAUCCGAGGCGCGAUUAUUGCUAAUUGAAAACAUUUGAACUUCUUUCAAAGGUAUAAACAGGACUUACAAAAGUGUAGGUGAAAAACUGAGCUUUCCUGAUUAUCACAGAAGCAAUACAAUUAUUUUUAAAUACAGAUAAAUCAAUGAUAUUUUUCACAGCCUUUAUCAAAUGAAAAGG
rnacentral:snRNA from 12 species